UUUCAUUUUCUCAUGUAUGUACUUUUGGAAUAUUGUUUUUGUACAAAAUUAAAAGCAGUGAUGACAGAAAAUAUUGCGAAGGUGAACCAGCAAGGGGUGGCAGUGGUGGACGGCAGCACAAGCUUGCUUUAGGGGUCUGUUUCCCCUGGGAAGGUCUGAGAGAAGGGACUCAUUAUGCUCUUGAAGGGCAGCCUCCGAGAGGAGGGGCGGGACACCAGACAGCCCUAGGGAUCCUGGCCGGGGGCAGGUCUGUGACACCAUCUGCUGCUGGUGGAGGCAGCCCCUGGCUUUGGUUGGGAAGUUCCUGUGUCCAGCUUAGUUGAGUGUGAUAAGCAAGGUGGCUUUUGGGCCAUAACUCAAUUCAGACUACUCUGUGCAGCUGAGCCUCACUGCCAUCACUGCUGGGCGUUGCAUCACAUGUGCAAUGAUUAUGAGAGCUGAGGGGUUAGUUUUUUGGACUCCCUGCAAUGUGAAUUUGUAUCACUAAAGCGGGCUUCCCCUCACAGGUUCAACAACUGGAUGCGAGCAAGGGGUGUUGAUUAAGGCACAGCUGACACGAGUCUGCAAUUUUCAUAUUUCAGGCUGCAGCUCACAUCUUGCUUGAGAAUAACAAGCAGCAGCAGCUGUAUAGGUGCUUUACAAUAGUCAUUCUAAUUAAUCAUGAGUAAUUGUAUGAGUUAUUCUACUCCAGGGUUACACUGUUUAGCUUUAUAGCCUAUACAUGUUUCAUUGUUCAAUAAACUGCAAUAACUUUU